GCCUGUUCAGCGGACACGAGCGCGGCGUCUAGACAGCUCGCUGUUUGUACAGCGACUAGCUCUGUAACGUCUACUAGCUCUGUAACGUCUAACGUCUCUGUAACGUCUAACGUCUCUGUAACGUCUAGGUGGCCCGUCUCUUGGAGAAGGGGGCCAUCACUGUCGUUCCCCCCCACGAGUCACACCUAAGGUUUAACUCCUGCUACUUCCUGGUUUCCAAGAAGUCAGGGGAGAAGAGACCUAUUCUGGAUCUUCACAUGUUCAACAGGUUAGUUGCCGCGAGGAAAUUCAGAAAGCUCACUAUCAGAGCGCUGCUCCGAUGUGUGAGAGAGGGCGACUGGUUCACAUCCUUGGAUCUCAAGGAUGCUUACUUCCACGUCCCUGUUCGGCAGGCGCACAGGAAGUUUCUCCGUUUUGCCUUCAUGGGGCUGGCGUACGAGUACCAGUGCCUGCCAUUCGGCUCCUCCCUGGCCCCGCGCAUCUUCUCGAAGUGUGUGGAGACGGCGUUGGGACCGCUCAGGCGUCAGGGAAAGAGGGUUCUCUUCUACCUCGACGACCUACUUAUUUUGAGCAACUCAGGGGAAGCUGCGAGAAGGAACACCAUGACGGUGAUAAACCAUCUCUCUUUCCUGGGUUUUGCCGGCAGAUAGUCUACUUGGGGCUUUGCCUAGACUCAGCCGCCAUGACAGCGAUGCUCUCGCCUCCUCGGCUAGACACAAUCCUGUUGGCACUCUCCCGCUUUCGCGUUCUCAGAAACGUGACCGCACUGUCCACCAUGCGCCUGUUAGGGCUGAUGGCAGCCGCCCAUCCCGUGGUUCCCCUGGGUCUGCUCUUUAUGCGCAGACUCCAGCGGUGGUUUGCUCGCCAACGGUUUGACCCAGUGCGACACAAGCUCAGGGUGCUCCUCCUACCCCGUUCAGUGUCACCAGACCUGGAAUGUUGGGGAAACCCCCCCGCCCUUCUCAGGGGUGUUCCCCUGGGCAGAGUGACGUCCUACGUAGUGGUCUUCACGGACGCCUCGUUGACGGGUUGGGGAGGAACGUGCCUCUCUCACUCGGUGGGAGGCGAGUGGCGCACGCCCCCUACAGUCCACAUAAAUGUACGGGAAC
rnacentral:lncRNA from 1 species